CUCACAAUGGCCGGCUUUAUUCCUGCAUGGGUUUGAGGAACACAAACUCUGCUAUGUCCACCAGCGCCCUGUGGCCCAGGACCUGCCAUCAUCUUCAGGAACCAAGGAAAGCUGAUUCAUUACAAUGCUGGCUAAUACCCACAGGAACACUGAGCUCCACUGUGUGGGAGCUUGAGGGGCCUGUGCUGCCCACGCUGAGUGUCCACCGCCUUCCACUGCCUCUGACACCUUCAAGCCAUCUCCUGAAUCUGGAAUAGUCAUUGUGAGCUGGAGGCUUCCUCAGAAGAACCCUAAAAUCAACGGGGAUUUUGGUGCCAAGAAAAAUAGCCCAGCCCAACUUCACAGCAGUGAGCCUCCAAUGCACCCCAGGAAGCUGCCAUCACCAUGGGUAGCGCGACCUGGCUUGAUUUUGCCAAAACAAAGGAAAAUCCCUCCAGCAAUUUCUAUGAAUUUGUUUUGCAAAACUGAAUUGUCUGCUUUUAAUUCCCCUAUACCAAUUAA
rnacentral:antisense_RNA from 1 species